UAAAACAGAUUACAUUACAAAAGAAUUUCAAGCAGAUUGCUUUUUUAAUUUUUUUUAAAGAUCUAAAUCAAUCUUUACUUUGCUCUGGUCUGCACCACAGCUAUCGUCUGAGGAUGGCAUCUGAUGUCGACAUAAAACUUUAUUCUCUUAUUAUGCCUGUUGGAAGGAGAAAACAAUAAAAUUACUUCAGAAUGGGUCAUAAAAAGUUCACUCUAAACUGGAACUUUGGAAAAGGAAACAAGCCCACAAUCUACCAAAGUCCACAAAAGGGAAAUUACUAUGAAUCAUUAAGGAAUGGAUGAAACUCAAGGAAAGUCAAAUUCUAGAAUGCUAUACAUGCU